rnacentral:tRNA from 1 species
CAGGGGAUAGUUUAAGAUUAGAAUUUCAGCUUUGGGUGUUGAUGGUAGAAUAAAAAGUUCUUUCCCUGA